UGGGGAAUAUUGGACAAUGGGGGCAACCCUGAUCCAGCCAUGCCGCGUGAGUGAUGAAGGCCCUAGGGUUGUAAAGCUCUUUUGUGCGGGAAGAUAAUGACGGUACCGCAAGAAUAAGCCCCGGCUAACUUCGUGCCAGCAGCCGCGGUAAUACGAAGGGGGCUAGCGUUGCUCGGAAUCACUGGGCGUAAAGGGUGCGUAGGCGGGUUUCUAAGUCAGAGGUGAAAGCCUGGAGCUCAACUCCAGAACUGCCUUUGAUACUGGAAGUCUUGAGUAUGGCAGAGGUGAGUGGAACUGCGAGUGUAGAGGUGAAAUUCGUAGAUAUUCGCAAGAACACCAGUGGCGAAGGCGGCUCACUGGGCCAUUACUGACGCUGAGGCACGAAAGCGUGUGGAGCAAACAGGAUUAGAUACCCUGGUAGUCCACGCCGUAAACGAUGAAUGCCAGCCGUUAGUGGGUCUACUCACUAGUGGCGCAGCUAACGCUUUAAGCAUUCCGCCUGGGGAGUACGGUCGCAAGAUUAAAACUU
rnacentral:rRNA from 1 species